rnacentral:rRNA from 1 species
AUUGAACGCUGGCGGCAGGCCUAACACAUGCAAGUCGAGCGGAUGAAGAGAGCUUGCUCUCUGAUUCAGCGGCGGACGGGUGAGUAAUGCCUAGGAAUCUGCCUGGUAGUGGGGGACAACGUUUCGAAAGGAACGCUAAUACCGCAUACGUCCUACGGGAGAAAGCAGGGGACCUUCGGGCCUUGCGCUAUCAGAUGAGCCUAGGUCGGAUUAGCUAGUAGGCGAGGUAAAGGCUCACCUAGGCGACGAUCCGUAACUGGUCUGAGAGGAUGAUCAGUCACACUGGAACUGAGACACGGUCCAGACUCCGACGGGAGGCAGCAGUGGGGAAUAUUGGACAAUGGGCGAAAGCCUGAUCCAGCCAUGCCGCGUGUGUGAAGAAGGUCUUCGGAUUGUAAAGCACUUUAAGUUGGGAGGAAGGGAAGUAAGUUAAUACCUUGCUGUUUUGACGUUACCAACAGAAUAAGCACCGGCUAACUUCGUGCCAGCCGCCGCGGUAAGAC